rnacentral:rRNA from 1 species
UACGUAGGGUGCAAGCGUUGUCCGGAAUUAUUGGGCGUAAAGAGCUCGUAGGCGGUCUGUCGCGUCGGCUGUGAAAACCCGGAGCUCAACUCCGGGCCUGCAGUCGAUACGGGCAGACUGGAGUUCGGCAGGGGAGACUGGAAUUCCUGGUGUAGCGGUGAAAUGCGUAGAUAUCAGGAGGAAUACCGAUGGCGAAGGCAGGUCUCUGGGCUGACACUGACGCUCAUGCACGAAAGCGUGGGGAGCAAACAGG